AUUGAACGCUGGCGGCAUGCCUUACACAUGCAAGUCGAACGGCAGCACGGGAGCAAUCCUGGUGGCGAGUGGCGAACGGGUGAGUAAUGUAUCGGAACGUGCCCAGUCGUGGGGGAUAACGUAGCGAAAGCUACGCUAAUACCGCAUACGAUCUGUGGAUGAAAGCGGGGGACCGUAAGGCCUCGCGCGAUUGGAGCGGCCGAUAUCAGAUUAGGUAGUUGGGGGGGUAAAGGCCUACCAAGCCGACGAUCUGUAGCUGGUCUGAGAGGACGAACAGCCACACUGGGACUGGGACACGGCCCAGACGCCUACGGGAGGCAGCAGUGGGGAAUUUUGGACAAGGGGAGCAAGCCUGAUCCAGCAAUGCCGCGUGCAGGAUGAAGGCCUUCGGGUUGUAAACUGCUUUUGUACGGAGCGAAAAGGCUCUCUCUAAUACAGGGGGCUCAUGACGGUACCGUAAGAAUAAGCACCGGCUAACUACGUGCCAGCCGCCGCAGUAA
rnacentral:rRNA from 1 species